GAUGAAGAACGUAGUGAAAUGCGAUAAUUAAUGUGAAUUGCAGAAUUCCGUGAAUCAUCGAGUCUUUGAACGCACAUUGCGCCUCAUGGCAUUCCGUGAGGCAUGCCCAUCUCAGCGUUAGAAAAUAUUCUCAAAUUUUAGUUUUGUGCUAAAAUUUGGAUCAUGUCAAGGAAGCUAUUACUAUUAUUGUGAUCGCUCUUUGGAAAUUGGUAGGUCUUUGAGUUGCUACUCAUAGAACGUGAUGAAUCUUUCUUCGUUCUAUUGUAAUUCACUCUGGUAGUCCUAAAACUUGUAUGCCUGUGGCAUAUCUUGUAAUUUGACCUGAGAUUGGGUAGGGAUACCCGCUGAACUUAAGCAUAUCAAUAAGCGGAGGA
rnacentral:misc_RNA from 1 species